ensembl:snRNA U6 U6 spliceosomal RNA
GUGCUUGCUUUGGCAGCAUAUAUACUAAAAUUGGAACAAUACAGAGAUUAGCAUGGCCUCUGUGCAAGGAUGACAUGCGAAUUCAUGAAGAAUUCCAUAUUUUU